CCUACGGGCGGCAGCAGUGAGGAAUAUUGGUCAAUGGGCGUAAGCCUGAACCAGCCAAGUCGCGUGCGGGAUGAAGGUUCUAUGGAUCGUAAACCUCUUUUAUAAGGGAAUAAAGUGUGGGACGUGUCCUAUUUUGUAUGUACCUCAUGAAUAAGGACCGGCUAAUUCCGUGCCAGCAGCCGCGGUAAUACGGAGGAGCCGAGCGUUAUCCGGAUUUAUUGGGUUUAAAGGGUGCGUAGGCGGCCUUUUAAGUCAGCGGUGAAAGUCUGUGGCUCAACCAUGGAAUUGCCGUUGGUACUGGGGGGCUGGAGGAUGUUUGAGGCAGGCGGAAGGCGUGGUGGAGCGGUGAAAUGCUUAGAUAUCACGCAGAACCCCGAUUGCGAAGGCAGCAU
rnacentral:rRNA from 1 species